ACGUAAGAUAGCUGGGAAGCGAGGGUAUUGUCUUGAGCUCUGGCGUCGCAAUAGUGAACAUGACCUUGGUUCUUGUCUUUCACGUGUCUCCACCACCUCUGUUGCCUUCAUAUCAAUACUGUCGACAUCAUGGCGAGAGGGUAGUGCAAGGCGAUUGAGAAAACAAUGAUGCAUGGUUGGCAUCGUGUGAUGCAAACCAUUUGUGAUAACUAUAGAAGCG
rnacentral:lncRNA from 1 species